CAGCAUAUGUAACUGGACUAGUUUAAAUUUCAGCAGUGAUGUAAGGUACACUGCAUAAUAUAAGCCCACCAUCAUAAAUGAAAAAGAAAAGUCUCCUAGCGUAAUACGAGGAGGUGAAAAAGAACAUGCAUAAGUGCUUAUUUAUCUGCUUGGAAAUAUCCUGAUAUUCUCCUCAGCAGUAUGAUUAGAGGGUCUUUGUCAAGGUUGUGUAGGUAGUUGUGUCCAUCAACUGUAACCUUCAGCAACCCUCUAGUCACUAAUUCAUUCAAAUGAUCUGAAUUUGGAAAUGAGACUGUCGGCUUUAUCUUUGAGCUGACUUCUUUCUCCCUCAAGUCGUGAAAAGUUGAGAUGUUUUCCUUCUUGUUGUGUUUUGAUUGACCUUUAUUCUCCUUUUCAUUUUGAAUUGAGAAAAUUGUGAAGCACUUAUUGCUUGUGUGCAUGCGUGUGUGUGUGUGUGUGUGUGUGUGUGUGUGUGUUUUUGUGACAUAUCAGGACACAACUUUGUAUAAUGACAUGGGUAUGACACAGGUAUUACAAGGAGAGGGUGACUUAUGAGGACAUAACCCAUGUCCCCAUUUUUCAAAACGCUUAUAAACCAUACAGAAUUCGUUUUUUUGAGACAGUAAAAAUGCAAAAAGUUUCCUGUGAGGGGUAGGGUUGGUGUAGGGCAAUAGCACAUACAGUUUGUAAAGUAUAAAAACCAUUACGCCUAUGGAAUGUCCCCACAAUUCACAAAAACAAACGUGUGUAUGUGUGUGUGUUUGAGCAGAGUUGGAUCACAAGUGGUCAGCCCAAGUGGUUUUGGAUUUCUGGAUUCUUUUUUCCUCAAGGAUUCCUCACAGCUUCCCACCAUGGAGGACGGUGUGUUGGUUCAUGGGAUGUUCAUGGAUGCUUAUGGCUGGGAUGACACAUGCGCUGUCGAGAGUAAUGAACCCCAUGCUGUCUGUGGUGCAUUUCGAGCCCAGCCUCUACCACACGCCUCUGUACAAGACCUCCGCUCGUGCAGGAGCUCUGUCUACUACAGAUGUUGCCAUCCAACCAGCCCAGUGACUACUGGAUCUCAAAAGGGUCUGCACUACUCUGCCAACUCAAUGAAUAAGCAAAGCUGUAUGCUUUACUUCUCUCCUUUCUCAACAGAGCUUUUAGUGUUUUUGAGCAUAAGUAACAUUAAGGCCUUAAAAAAAAAAAAAAAAAAAAAAACAUAA
ensembl:lncRNA